UACGAAGGGGGCUAGCGUUGCUCGGAUUUACUGGGCGUAAAGAGCGCGUAGGCGGUUUAGUAAGUUGGAAGUGAAAUCCCAGAGCUUAACUUUGGAACUGCUUUCAAAACUGCUAUUCUAGAGAUCGGUAGAGGAUGGUGGAAUUCCUAGUGUAGAGGUGAAAUUCGUAGAUAUUAGGAGGAACACCGGUGGCGAAGGCGACCAUCUGGGCCGAAUCUGACGCUGAGGCGCGAAAGCGUGGGGAGCAAACAGG
rnacentral:rRNA from 1 species